AUUGAACGCUGGCGGCAUGCUUUACACAUGCAAGUCGAACGGUAACAGGCCGCAAGGUGCUGACGAGUGGCGAACGGGUGAGUAAUGCAUCGGAGCGUGCCCAGUCGUGGGGGAUAACUACUCGAAAGAGUAGCUAAUACCGCAUACGAUCUAUGGAUGAAAGCGGGGGACCGUAAGGCCUCGCGCGAUUGGAGCGGCCGAUGUCAGAUUAGGUAGUUGGUGGGGUAAAGGCUCACCAAGCCAACGAUCUGUAGCUGGUCUGAGAGGACGACCAGCCACACUGGGACUGAGACACGGCCCAGACUCCUACGGGAGGCAGCAGUGGGGAAUUUUGGACAAUGGGCGCAAGCCUGAUCCAGCAAUGCCGCGUGCAGGAAGAAGGCCUUCGGGUUGUAAACUGCUUUUGUACGGAACGAAACGGCUCUGGUUAAUACCCGGGGCUAAUGACGGUACCGUAAGAAUAAGCACCGGCUAACUACGU
rnacentral:rRNA from 1 species